rnacentral:rRNA from 1 species
UACAGAGGGGGCCAGCGUUAUUCGGAAUUAUUGGGCGUAAAGGGCUCGUAGGUGGCCAACUAAGUCAGACGUGAAAUCCCUCGGCUUAACCGGGGAACUGCGUCUGAUACUGGAUGGCUUGAGUUUGGGAGAGGGAUGCGGAAUUCCAGGUGUAGCGGUGAAAUGCGUAGAGAUCGGGAGGAACACCCGUGGCGAAGGCGGCUCACUGGGCUGACCUUGACGCUGAGGCGCG